rnacentral:lncRNA from 1 species
CGUCAUCUCAUCAGAUUGUGCAAAACCAUAUCAACAGCAACCACCACACACGACGUCAAUGCAAACCCACCACCACACACGACGUCAAUGCAAACCCACCACCACAUCAACUCAAAAUCACCAUCACUAUAACAUACCACCACCGAUCAAAAAAUCACCACCACUAUAAAUUGUAAUCACACCGCCGUCGAUCCACAUCAUCCACACGACCACUGUAAUCACACCACCACCGAUCCACCGCACACCAAAGUCAAAACCAUCAAUCGCGGCACCAUCAGAUCGCGGGUUCAUUGCACAGACCACCACUAUCACCUCCACUACUACCACAAAAUCACCUCAAAAAUCACAUAAAACUGCCAAAAACUCCAUAAAUUCAUCAAAAAAAGAAACAGUAGAAAGAGGAUGGAAUGGUGACUGCAGAUCGAGUGCGAAUAGCGACAUAGGCGUGUCGAGUCUUUCUUCCCCUUUGGUGACUGCGGAUCGACGAUGUUGACUGGCAUCGACGGUGCUCCGGCGAUGACACAGUAGAAAAAGGAUGGUGAGAGGACGAGACGUUAGGGAGAGUUAGAUAGAGAAUGAGAAUUGAGAAGUAAAUUUAG